rnacentral:rRNA from 1 species
CCUACGGGGGGCAGCAGUGAGGAAUAUUGGUCAAUGGGCGCGAGUCUGAACCAGCCAAGUAGCGUGAAGGAUGACUGCCCUACGGGUUGUAAACUUCUUUUAUACAGGAAUAAAGUGAUGCACGUGUGCCUUUUUGUAUGUACUUUAUGAAUAAGGAUCGGCUAACUCCGUGCCAGCAGCCGCGGUAAUACGGAGGAUCCGAGCGUUAUCCGGAUUUAUUGGGUUUAAAGGGAGCGUAGGUGGAUUGUUAAGUCAGUUGUGAAAGUUUGCGGCUCAACCGUAAAAUUGCAGUUGAUACUGGCAGUCUUGAGUACAGUAGAGGUAGGCGGAAUUCGUGGUGUAGCGGUGAAAUGCUUAGAUAUCACGAAGAACUCCGAUUGCGAAGGCAGCUUACUAGACUGCAACUGACACUGAGGCUCGAAAGUGUGGGUAUCAAACAGGAUUAGAUACCCUGGUAGUC